UACGGAGGGAGCUAGCGUUGUUCGGAAUUACUGGGCGUAAAGCGCACGUAGGCGGCUUUGUAAGUCAGAGGUGAAAGCCUGGAGCUCAACUCCAGAACUGCCUUUAAGACUGCAUCGCUUGAAUCCAGGAGAGGUGAGUGGAAUUCCGAGUGUAGAGGUGAAAUUCGUAGAUAUUCGGAAGAACACCAGUGGCGAAGGCGGCUCACUGGACUGGUAUUGACGCUGAGGUGCGAAAGCGUGGGGAGCAAACAGG
rnacentral:rRNA from 1 species